AAGGGCGCACGGUGGAUGCCUUGGCACUAGAAGCCGAUGAAGGACGUUACUAACGACGAUAUGCUUUGUGGAGCUGUAAGUAAGCUUUGAUCCAGAGAUUUCCGAAUGGGGAAACCCAGCAUGAGUUAUGUCAUGUUAUCGAUAUGUGAAUACAUAGCAUAUCAGAAGGCACACCCGGAGAACUGAAACAUCUUAGUACCC
rnacentral:rRNA from 1 species